rnacentral:rRNA from 1 species
CCUACGGGAGGCAGCAGUCGGGAAUUUUGCUCAAUGGGCGAAAGCCUGAAGCAGCAACGCCGCGUGAGGGAUGACGGCCUUCGGGUUGUAAACCUCUUUUCUCAGGGACGAUGAUGACGGUACCUGAGGAAUAAGCCACGGCUAACUACGUGCCAGCAGCCGCGGUAAUACGUAGGUGGCGAGCGUUGUCCGGAUUUACUGGGCGUAAAGAGCGCGCAGGCGGUCGUGCAAGUCGGAUGUGAAAGCCCCCGGCUCAACUGGGGAGGGUCAUUCGAUACUGCUCGACUUGAAGGCGGGAGAGGGAAGCGGAAUUCCCGGUGUAGUGGUGAAAUGCGUAGAUAUCGGGAGGAACACCAGUGGCGAAGGCGGCUUCCUGGCCCGUUCUUGACGCUGAGGCGCGAAAGCUAGGGGAGCAAACGGGAUUAGAUACCCCGGUAGUCCUAGCCGUAAACGAUGGACACUAGGUGUUGGUGGUAUCAACCCCGCCAGUGCCGAAGCUAACGCAUUAAGUGUCCCGCCUGGGGAGUACGGCCGCAAGGCUAAAACUCAAAGGAAUUGACGG